GGUCCGGUGGCGGAUGGUUCGCGCCUGCGCGCGGUGUGUGUACGACUUGCCGUGCGCAGGAGACGCUCGUUCGAUUCGGGCCCGGGUCU